UACGAAGGGUGCAAGCGUUACUCGGAAUUACUGGGCGUAAAGCGUGCGUAGGUGGUGAGUUAAGUCUGUCGUGAAAGCCCCGGGCUCAACCUGGGAAUGGCGAUGGAUACUGGCUCGCUAGAGUGCGGUAGAGGAGAGUGGAAUUCCCGGUGUAGCAGUGAAAUGCGUAGAGAUCGGGAGGAACAUCAGUUGCGAAGGCGGCUCUCUGGCCUGACACUGACGCUGAGGUGCGAAAGCGUGGGGAGCGAACGGG
rnacentral:rRNA from 1 species